rnacentral:rRNA from 1 species
UACGUAGGCAGCAAGCGUUGUUCGGAGUUACUGGGCGUAAAGGGUGUGUAGGCGGUCUUCUAAGUUUGGUGUGAAAUCUCCCGGCUCAACUGGGAGGGUGCGCCGAAAACUGGGAGGCUAGAGUGCGGGAUGGGAGAGUGGAAUUCCUGGUGUAGCGGUGAAAUGCGUAGAUAUCUGGAGGAACACCGGUGGCGAAGGCGGCAUCCUGGACCGACACUGACGCUGAGGAGCGAAAGCCAGGGGAGCAAACGGG